GGCUAAUGUCAUUACCACAGGCAGGAAUAUACACAGUUUUACACAAUAUUCAUAACUUUAAAAGGUAUACAUCACAUUCACAUAAAACUUACAUAGUCUGAACCAGCAUACGCAGUAUACAAACAUAGGUCAAAAUCAUACACAUUGGUCCAGUGGUUCAAAAGUUAGAUGGAAGUCCUUUUUGACCGACUGCAAGCAUGGCGUUCCUGCCCCAAACCAGUUCCACAGAGUUAGGCUGUGCAGCCGGUCUAUCUUCUCUAUCCUGGAGAUAAUUGGCUUAACUGGGUGUGGUAAGCCAAUUAUCUCCAGGUACAGAAAAUAUCUCCAUUCACAACAGCAGCAAAAAUACACAAUUCCUAUUACACUGAACAGAAACCCCACAUUCAACCUAUCCCCAGAUAGCUUGGAACUGAGCGCUCAAUAUAUCCGAACAGUGCUCAGAUCCCACGAACAGAAUAAAAUCGCCAUGGGGUUAAAGUUUAGCACGGGCUGAUGAGAGGUUGAGGAGGAAAGGUCUUAACAUGCC